rnacentral:rRNA from 1 species
ACGAACGCUGGCGGCGUGCCUAAUACAUGCAAGUCGAACGGUCUUUCUAUGGAAGCUUGCUUCCACUGAAAAGAUAGUGGCGAACGGGUGAGUAACACGUGGGUAACCUGCCCAUAAGAGGGGGAUAACAUCCGGAAACGGGUGCUAAUACCGCAUAGUUUUCUUGAUCGCAUGAUCGGGAAAGGAAAGACGGCCUUUGUGCUGUCGCUUAUGGAUGGACCCGCGGCGUAUUAGUUAGUUGGUGAGGUAACGGCUCACCAAGACGAUGAUACGUAGCCGACCUGAGAGGGUGAUCGGCCACAUUGGGACUGAGACACGGCCCAAACUCCUACGGGAGGCAGCAGUAGGGAAUCUUCCGCAAUGGACGAAAGUCUGACGGAGCAACGCCGCGUGAGUGAAAGAAGGUUUUCGGAUCGUAAAACUCUGUUGUCAGAGAAGAACAAGUUGGAGAGUAACUGCUCCAGCCUUGACGGUAUCUGACCAGAAAGCCACGGCUAACUACGUGCCAGCCGCCGC